rnacentral:rRNA from 1 species
GAUGAACGCUGGCGGCGUGCCUAAUACAUGCAAGUCGAGCGAACGGACGAGAAGCUUGCUUCUCUGAUGUUAGCGGCGGACGGGUGAGUAAGACGUGGAUAACCUACCUAUAAGACUGGGAUAACUUCGGGAAACCGUAGCUAAUACCGGAUAAUAUUUUGAACCGCAUGGUUCAAAAGUGAAAGACGGUCUUGCUGUCACUUAUAGAUGGAUUCGCGCUGCAUUAGCUAGUUGGUAAGGUAACGGCUUACCAAGGCAACGAUGCAUAGCCGACCGGAGAGGGUGAUCGGCCACAUGGGAACUGAGACACGGUCCAGAUUCUUACGGGAGGCAGCAGUGGGGAAUCUGCCGCAAUGGGCGAAAGCCUGACGGAGCAACGCCGCGUGAGUGAUGAAGGUCUUCGGAUCGUAAAACUCUGUUAUGAGGGAAGAACAUAUGUGUAAGUAACUGUGCACAUCUUGACGGUACCUAAUCAGAAAGCCACGGCUAACUACGU